CCCUCUAGAGAACCCUGACUAAUACAACUACCCACCAUCUCAUAAGUUCUCCAGAACUUCUGGGUAUCAGAAUUUUAGAAAGUAAUGAGGCUUUUUGUAGAAUGCCAUGAAAUAUACAUUGUUUGUAAUUUCACUGUACUAUACACAGUCACAAUCACAAAGGCUUAUGUGCAGGGCAGUAGAGGAGCCCAUGAACCAUGAGCCAUCUUUUCAGAAGUAUGGCACUGUGAGUAAGAGCUCAAAUCUGGAUUCAGAGGUGAGUUCAAAUUCCAAUUUUACUACUUACUAAAGGGGGCUCUUAGGAAAGUAGCUCAUUCUCUCUCUGGCAGAAAUGGCCAACUGUUCAUCAAAAUUUGUAGCAUCAUCCAUUGUGUGGAGAUGUUGCUAAGCACAGGCUUCCCCGUCAUGGAUUCAAUUUCCUAAUCAUCUUUGCAUCUCUAUGGAGCUAUGUGACCAGCUCUCACUAACCGAAGGUGGGCAGGAAUAAAGUGUGUUAUUUCUUGGUUCUCAAUGAUUAAGAAGUAAGUGUGCCUGCUUUCCUCUUUCUUCUUCUUCCACAGUGACCUUGGAAGCCAAGUGCUGAAGAUAGUGGAGCUACGACAAUAAAGAGCUUGAGUCUUCAAUCCUUACAUGGCAGACCAUCCACUCAGCACUCUCAUCAAACUGUUAUGUACAUGGCAGGAGAAAUGAUUGAGAGCUUUUCCAGUAUGGCAUGGAAACAAAGCAAAGCAAUUUCAGUGUGGUCACAAGACUAAGGAGGAGGCAGAUGCUGUGCAGGCACCAGUACCACAGCCAAGGGAUGAGGAACUUCUCCAUCUUAUUCCAUUUGAGUGAAAUAUGAAUAAUUGAAGAGAUGUGGUAUCAAAGCUCAUUGAACAAAACUUUUCUGGUAACAUGCUUCGUCCUAUCUAGUUAUUUGAAUUCAUAUAAACUUAAAGGAAAAGAACAAAACAAAGCUAUAAAGAAAAUUGGAAGUUAUUCAUUGCCAUUCGUCAUAAACAAGCUUAGAGGCUGGGAUAUUUGGCAUGAUGAUAAUGAAACUGCAGGAAAUUGAGCACACUCCAAUGUUGGUGAGGACGGUCCAUCCAUUCUGCGUACGUCUGCAUCUUUGGGACUUAGAGUCUGGCAAGUAGAAGAGGGAUUUCAUCUUGUUGGAAAAUAUAAGUUGGAAAAUCAACCCACAUGAAAUUGCGGAAGCUGAGGGGUUUCACUGAUGGAAAAAUGGAGAAGAUUUGAUGAAACAGCAAGUCCUUAAGAGUGGGAGCCAGAAGUUUAAGUUGUAACAGGUUUCAGAUGUGAUUCAGAACUUAGAGGAUAACAAACUGCAGAAAAAUUCUUUGGAAGAUAAUGAUUAGAGAAAAAUUCUGGGUCAAAGGCAGCUAUUGUGGUGCAUAUUUAUUCAGACUUCAAAUUUGAAAAGAAAUCAUUGUUUCACAGACCAAAAGGUAAGCCACUGGUAUCUGUCAUCAGCAAACAGGAAAAAUGAAGAAGUACAUUUCUUCUAUAGGUUGCAACACACAGUACAAAUAUAUCAUUAGAGUACCUAAAAUGCAAGAUGAAUCGGUUCUGUGAAUUGAAACUUUGAUUUUGUUCUUGAGCCAGUAGAGUUUACAGAGUUCUAUGAGGAAGGACGUCUGUAAAAUAUCUUACAAUAUGUUGUCUCCUAUUUUGAGAGAAAGGGAAAGUAUCUUUGCACUGUGAAUAUACCCUUUGUGUUAUUAACUGUGAGGACAUGACAAGGCUAAACAAUUGCUUCUUUCUUCUGUCAAAGUUUCGUUUGCUUUGGUUAGUACCAUUGCUGGAGAGAAUUAAACAAGUUUCCACGUUUUAGGCUUCUUGACAUUUUUUGAUGUUCCACGUAACUGCAACGGAAUAACUCGAUGAAACAAAUCAAGGCAGCUGUGCUCUGAUCCUUAGUUGCCUUCCAAGGAUAAGAUGACACAUUUGAUAAACACAUUUCCUUUAACGCCAAGUUCUCCAGGUCAGGCAGGCAUAUCAUAUAGAUGAAACUGAUCUGAGCCUUCAUCCUGAGGGAGAAGAGAGUUGGAGAUGAAGGUAAACCAGGAUCCCGGUUUUAACCCUGCAACACACCAGUCUCCUGAACUUGAGUAUUUGUAAGUACUGCAUCUGAGAUUGGCUUUGCCCAUGACUUUCCAAACAUUGAUAUUGGAUGGGACCUGACUCUUAAAUAAUCCCAAGUCAGAGAAAAACAAUUUUGUGGAAUAGUUGCACAGAGCAUUUGCUCACUUAAUUCUGCCAAGUGGUGGAGGGAGGAGAAUGUGGAUUCUGGAAUUAGGAAGACUUGGAUUCAGUGUCACCUUCUACCAUUUAACAACUGCUGAGGUUAGUUUCCUAUACUCUUUGAGUCCCAGACCCUUAUCUCUAAAAUUGAGAAUAAUAAUAUCUACCUCAUAGGAUUAUUAAGAAUGCUAAUUGAGAUUAAAUAUGUAAAGUACAUGGCACAAAAUGCUCAAUAAAUAUUAGUACUAUUUAAUUUAGCCUAAGGGUCUUGCUAGGAUUUUAGAGAUGCUUCCCUGCCUCUUACUGGCUCUAUUGUUUACAUAAUUAUCUCUUUAUUUUUCCUUUUCUCUAAAAUUUUAUUAAUAUUUCAGUAAAUCUUUCUUAUAUUGAGAACAAUUUCUUAUAUAAAGUGGAACAUAUUGGGGGGAACUUUUCAGUAGCCAUCUCAUAGGCUAAAGAAACAAAAAAGAUAGAUGUUUUACAUGUUUUUAUUCUGUUGAUGAGCCCCUGAGAAGAUUGUUCCAGGUUCUGACACAGUCUCAUCCAGGACCAAGAUGGUUUUCUUCACUUUCCAACCCAGUGAUCUUUUAGUUUUAAUGUAAGUAAAUCUAAGCAUUGAAGUACAGCGUUUCCAACAUAAUCGUUUUUGUACAUUUAAUAUUUUAGCUCAUGCAGAAAGGGGAGUUUCUGGAAAACCAUGCCUAAAGUGACCAUCUAUUAUAACCCUUGGAGAGUGUAACAAGAAAAAUUGUGUUGAACAUUUAUGUAAAGCUUCUGGCAGGAGACAGGAAAGACAUCCUUAACCAACUCAGUAGAACUUUCACUUUUAAGGAACUGCAGUGCAGGUGAUUAAUUAGUAAAAAUGGGCCCUGAUACAAAGUCAGCUUAGGGUCCACUGGAUACUGCAACAAAGGACUUUUAUUGUUUCUUCUUGAGUAGGGAAACGGAUUUCCCUAAUCAAAGACCAGAUUCUUUCUUAGCAGUAAGGGAAAGAAAGUAGGUAAUACUUUUUGUUUGUUUUUCCCUUCAGAAAUGGAGAAAGCUCACCAAAGAAGAGAAAGGACAUGCUUCACUCAGGAUGAUGGGCUGUCCCUUUUCCUUUGGAACCAGCAUAACCUUCACCAUGUCAAUAUGGAUUGCAAAGAAAUGGAAACUUGGUGCUGUUCACCUUACAGCUCCUGAUGAUUUCUUACAGUGGGGGAAAGGGAGAUUGGACUUCAAGGUCAGAGUAGCUGAACCAAGUUAUUCCAAUGUAUGAAUGAAAUCGUUCAUUUUUCACUGAACACUUACUUCAUGCUGGGACCUAAGCAACAACUGUGGCAACAAUGGACUUAUUGAUAAUUUACUAUGUACAGACACUCUUCUCACCUUUUGACAGAGACCGUUGAUUAGAUGACCAAAAGUGCCCAGCCCUUUGCCAAGUGUGAUAGAAAACAGGGAGAAGGUAUCAUCACAGUUUCACAGAUGCCUGCAUUCCAAAGGAUCUCAUCAGAGCAUAAGAGCUCUUCCAGAUAAUUAGUAAUUGGUCCUCACAGCACUCCUGGGAAGUACUGGGUCAAAUUGAACAAGUUCUGCGCCUUAUGCUCCAAGAGACCCAAGAUAAAGAAUAUCAUAAUUUUUCAAACCAGAUGCCCACAUAGAGCUGUUGUUUAUCCAUGAAUUAUUAUUGCAAUGCUUAACCGGAGCUAGAAACUUACCGUGAAUUUAUCAAGUUUUCCUCUUCAGAAGUUUCACUUCAAUUUCAAAGAAAAUGCAACCAAUGAAACAAUCGCGGUGUGUCAUAAAUUAUAGAUAUCUGACAUUCUUUACAAGGAAAGAAACAGUCAAAUAUCAUGGGACUCAUAUUUAUUUAUGUCUAUAUUAUCUACAGAUACUAUAGAUAAUAUAUAUGUAUAUUUUGACAGAGAAAGAAGAACACUCUGGAGUGUUUAAUCUACCAUAGUUUGAUAUUGUCUUUCUUGUUUGUGCCAAUUUGAAUUACUUGGUUCUGUUUUUUGGUUAUCUGCAAUUAGUGUGCUAUUUAUUUACAGAAUAGAGGAAACUGAAGCUUACUCUAUGUACACAAAAGAAUACUGUACCCAUUCAAUCAUAUAAAAAUAGAGUUAUCUCGUGGAAAA